UCUCAGCUUGCUUUUGUUACGUAUGGCCUUAAAUCUUCUUGACGAAUAGGACUGAUGGUGCUGAGGUUGGAACAGUGGGGUCUAUGAGCGUGAAAGUUCACGUGAUGGGAUCAAGAUUACACGCGCCGUUAAUCCAACAAAGAUCAUCGUUAAGUGUGAGAGCGGUCACAGGUGAUUGGUGGUGGAGACUUUGAUGGGCCCUUUUG